rnacentral:RNase_P_RNA from 1 species
UCGGCAAAAGGCUUCAUCGCUGCAUGUAAUAAGGCAGAGGAAAGUCCGGGCAACACAGAGCGCCAUACUUCCUAACGGGAAGGGUUUUAAGAAAUUAAAAUACAGCAAGUGCCACAGAAAAUAACCGUUUCGCAGCAAUGCGGAAUAAGGGUGCAAACGUGAGGUAAGAGCUCACGCAGCCCGCAGUAAUGUUGGGUUGGGGUAAACCUUAUGGGUUGAAAGGCCACAUAGGUUGUAAGUUAUAAACGGCUCGUUUAUGCAACAUGUGCAAACAUGUUGCCUUACAAUGGGUAGGCUGCUACAGGUUGUACGCGAGUACAAUCGCAGAUAAAUGAUGAAGGACUUAUUACUGCCAGCAGUUAUAAGUAACAGAACCCGGCUUAUUAUUUUGCCGACACC